GAGAAAAAUGAAUUUUAAUUGUGCUGUUCUACUCCUAUUUUGUGUUUGUAUUAUCGGAGCUACUGACAAUGUAAAAAGCAGGCAGAAGAAAAAACGAGUAAAAAAAAUUCAGUUCAACCCAGAGUAAAACAGCAAGCUGAAGUAUUAGGUCCCGUAAAUAACACAAUCCAACCUAGGAUGGCAUGCGAUUGUCAAAACUGCGAGUACUUUAUGAUAAAAACCAAAAAAUCAAAUCUGGUAUUAGACGCUUGCGAUGAUGUCGUUAAAGUUCAGGCACCUACUAAGUCUGCGUCACAGUUAUGGUCGCUAGAAUUGGAUGGACUUGGAAAAUUUUAUAUAGUUAAUCGUGCCACCGGAAACGCUUUGGAUAUCAAAGGUGGAGGUUCAAGAGCAGAUAAAUUAGUUACCUACCCAAAACAUUGUGGACCGAAUCAGCAAUGGUAUAUUAAUGAGAAGGGCAAUAUUUACAGUCCCAUUGAGAGUCUUGCUGUUGAUCUAUGGCUUGAGUCUUAUAAUCAAGGAACUGAUGUAGUAGCAUACCCUUG